rnacentral:rRNA from 1 species
AUGAACGCUAGCGACAGGCUUAACACAUGCAAGUCGAGGGGCAGCGGGGGUAGCAAUACCCGCCGGCGACCGGCGCACGGGUGAGUAACGCGUAUGCAACUUACCUAUCAGAGGGGGAUAACCCGGCGAAAGUCGGACUAAUACCGCAUGAAGCAGGGAUCCCGCAUGGGAAUAUUUGCUAAAGAUUCAUCGCUGAUAGAUAGGCAUGCGUUCCAUUAGGCAGUUGGCGGGGUAACGGCCCACCAAACCGACGAUGGAUAGGGGUUCUGAGAGGAAGGUCCCCCACAUUGGUACUGAGACACGGACCAAACUCCUACGGGAGGCAGCAGUGAGGAAUAUUGGUCAAUGGCCGAGAGGCUGAACCAGCCAAGUCGCGUGAGGGAUGAAGGUUCUAUGGAUCGUAAACCUCUUUUAUAAGGGAAUAAAGUGCGGGACGUGUCCCGUUUUGUAUGUACCUUAUGAAUAAGGAUCGGCUAACUCCGUGCCAGCAGCCGCGGUAAUACGGAGGAUCCGAGCGUUAUCCGGAUUUAUUGGGUUUAAAGGGUGCGUAGGCGGCCUUUUAAGUCAGCGGUGAAAGUCUGUGGCUCAACCAUAGAAUUGCCGUUGAAACUGGGGGGCUUGAGUAUGUUUGAGGCAGGCGGAAUGCGUGGUGUAGCGGUGAAAUGCAUAGAUAUCACGCAGAACCCCGAUUGCGAAGGCAGCCUGCCAAGCCAUGACUGACGCUGAUGCACGAAAGCGUGGGGAUCAAACAGGAUUAGAUACCCUGGUAGUCCACGCAGUAAACGAUGAUCACUAGCUGUUUGCGAUACACUGUAAGCGGCACAGCGAAAGCGUUAAGUGAUCCACCUGGGGAGUACGCCGGCAACGGUGAAACUCAAAGGAAUUGACGGGGGCCCGCACAAGCGGAGGAACAUGUGGUUUAAUUCGAUGAUACGCGAGGAACCUUACCCGGGUUUGAACGCAUUCGGACCGAGGUGGAAACACCUUUUCUAGCAAUAGCCGUUUGCGAGGUGCUGCAUGGUUGUCGUCAGCUCGUGCCGUGAGGUGUCGGCUUAAGUGCCAUAACGAGCGCAACCCUUGCCACUAGUUACUAACAGGUAAAGCUGAGGACUCUGGUGGGACUGCCAGCGUAAGCUGCGAGGAAGGCGGGGAUGACGUCAAAUCAGCACGGCCCUUACAUCCGGGGCGACACACGUGUUACAAUGGCGUGGACAAAGGGAAGCCACCUGGCGACAGGGAGCGAAUCCCCAAACCACGUCUCAGUUCGGAUCGGAGUCUGCAACCCGACUCCGUGAAGCUGGAUUCGCUAGUAAUCGCGCAUCAGCCAUGGCGCGGUGAAUACGUUCCCGGGCCUUGUACACACCGCCCGUCAAGCCAUGGGAGCCGGGGGUACCUGAAGUCCGUAACCGCGAGGAUCGGCCUAGGGUA